rnacentral:rRNA from 1 species
GCCGCGUGUGUGAAGAAGGCCUUAUGGUUGUAAAGCACUUUAAGCGAGGAGGAGGCUACUAGUAUUAAUACUACUGGAUAGUGGACGUUACUCGCAGAAUAAGCACCGGCUAACUCUGUGCCAGCAGCCGCGGUAAUACAGAGGGUGCGAGCGUUAAUCGGAUUUACUGGGCGUAAAGCGUGCGUAGGCGGCCAUUUAAGUCAAAUGUGAAAUCCCCGAGCUUAACUUGGGAAUUGCAUUCGAUACUGGAUGGCUAGAGUAUGGGAGAGGAUGGUAGAAUUCCAGGUGUAGCGGUGAAAUGCGUAGAGAUCUGGAGGAAUACCGAUGGCGAAGGCAGCCAUCUGGCCUAAUACUGACGCUGAGGUACGAAAGCAUGGGGAGCAAACAGGAUUAGAUACCCUGGUAGUCCAUGCCGUAAACGAUGUCUACUAGCCGUUGGGGCCUUUGAGGCUUUAGUGGCGCAGCUAACGCGAUAAGUAGACCGCCUGGGGAGUACGGUCGCAAGACUAAAACUCAAAUGAAUUGACGGGGGCCCGCACAAGCGGUGGGAGCAUGUGGGUUUAAUUCGAUGCAACGCGAAGAACCUUACCUGGCCUUGACAUACUAGAAACUUUCCAGAGAUGGGAUUGGUGCCUUCGGGAAUCUAGAUACAGGUGCUGCAUGGGCUGUCGUCAGCUCGUGUCGUGAGAUGUUGGGGUUAAGUCCCGCAACGAGCGCAACCCUUUUCCUUACUUGCCAGCAUUUCGGAUGGGAACUUUAAGGAUACUGCCAGUGACAAACUGGAGGAAGGCGGGG